rnacentral:tRNA from 1 species
GCCGCGAUGGCAGAGUGGUCGAACGCACCUGCCCGCAGAGCAGGAUCACAUCGGUCUGGAAACCGGCGGUUUCCAGAGCAAACCCGGCGGCCGCAACGCAGUGAGCACGUCCGGACGUGGUUCGAAUCCGAUCCGCGGCU